rnacentral:rRNA from 1 species
GAGUUUGAUCGUGGCUCAGAUUGAACGCUGGCGGCAGGCCUAACACAUGCAAGUCGAGCGGAUGACGGGAGCUUGCUCCUUGAUUCAGCGGCGGACGGGUGAGUAAUGCCUGGGAAUCUGCCUGGUGGUGGGGGACAACGUUUCGAAAGGAACGCUAAUACCGCAUACGUCCUACGGGAGAAAGCAGGGGACCUUCGGGCCUUGCGCUAUCAGAUGAGCCUAGGUCGGAUUAGCUAGUUGGUGGGGUAAUGGCUCACCAAGGCGACGAUCCGUAACUGGUCUGAGAGGAUGAUCAGUCACACUGGAACUGAGACACGGUCCAGACUCCUACGGGAGCAGCAGUGGGGAAUAUUGGACAAUGGGCGAAAGCCUGAUCCAGCCAUGCCGCGUGUGUGAAGAAGGUCUUCGGAUUGUAAAGCACUUUAAGUUGGGAGGAAGGGCAGUAAGUUAAUACCUUGCUGUUUUGACGUUACCGACAGAAUAAGCACCGGCUAACUCUGUGCCAGCCGCCG